AUCAAAGGGACUAAUUGAGUGCAAAUCUGUGCAAUUUUUUGAGUUGUGCAGUAUUGUAAAACUAUCCAAAAGUGUACCCCAGUGAAACUUCCCAUUUUUGGGGAAGGAACAAUUAAUGUCCUUUGAUGAGCUUACUCUGAGUGCUUUGUGAGAAGGCAUGUACAUAUGGAACAGAGGAGACCUAAAAGUCUGUGGGAUUUGAUCUCUGUCAUCCUCAGCUAAUGCUGAGGGGAGAACAGGUAUAGUGGUAUGAAUUUUGUUAACCCUCUAAGCUUGUGUAAAUAUUAAUUUUACCAGAUCAAACCUACGAUUUACUUUAUCAGCAGGCAAAACCAGAUCACAUUCCAGUCUAGCUCUAUUUUGUACCUGCUGCAGAGCUGGCAUUGCAGGUGAUGCAUGGAUUGAAGAUGGGGCUGAGUUCUGUUCAUCUAUCAGGCUUAGUCCCUGACCUUAAAUGUGUACAGCAUGAUAAUAUUGCAUGGCUUGUGACCCCUGCACUGGAAUCCUGCUGAGCAUGUGGCAAAGUGAGUGUCCCACAGUGUUACCCAGGAAUAACACACUGUCCUGGUCACUUUGGGUUCUGUUUUUCCAGGUUUGUGUUUCAAGUCAUGGAGAUAAUUGGAAAACUGCAGCUGCACAGUAUGGAGCGUGCUGUGUAAGCAGAGGUCUGAACACUGUCUACAGAGACAUCUAGAUACCAGGGUGUGUGUAAGAAAAACUGCUUAAUUAUGGACACAAUAACAAACACAUCUGCAGGGAAACACAGAAUUCACUGCAAGGAGGUGUCACUGGGAUGCAAUCUACAUACAUUAAUUGCUAGGUUGCUGUUUGAACAUUUGUGCACCACCUCUUCAGCCACCAUAUUAGGAACCCCCUUGCAUUUCAUUCUUGCACACAUGUAAUGAUUUUACAGAAUUUGAAAGAAUGUACCAUGGAUGGAAACAAGACAUGUUCCUGAAGAAAUGUUUUAUUCAACAAAACUUGCCCAACUUGAGCAUUUUCCAGGGUUAAAGAGAAAAGAGAUUCUGAAAAUUAUGCAAAUUGAGGGGUACUUCAGAUCUGGAAAAUAUAACCUGACUUUGAACUCCGGAGAAGCACAACAGAGCCACUACAUCUGGUUUCAGGACUAUGUUUUCAAAUUUAGACUGCUUUUCUUCACAAAUGUUAUGAGACAAGCUGGUCUGUUGAGGAAAAACAAAGGGAACAAAAAGUCUUUCCUCUGCUCUUUACCUCCUCGACAUAAUGGCAGUACCAGGUCAAUUUCUGGUUUACUUCAGAGGUAUUCAUAA
rnacentral:lncRNA from 1 species